GACGUAGGGCGCGAGCGUUGUCCGGAAUUAUUGGGCGUAAAGGGCUCGUAGGCGGUCUGUCACGUCGGGAGUGAAAACACGGGGCUUAACCCCGUGCCUGCUUCCGAUACGGGCAGACUAGAGGUAUGCAGGGGAGAACGGAAUUCCUGGUGUAGCGGUGAAAUGCGCAGAUAUCAGGAGGAACACCGGUGGCGAAGGCGGUUCUCUGGGCAUUACCUGACGCUGAGGAGCGAAAGUGUGGGGAGCGAACAGG
rnacentral:rRNA from 1 species